CAAAGGUUCACUGAGACAGCAGUCAGUCAUGAAAAAGGAAUUUGAACCAAGAUAACGUUAGUUACAUUUUAGCCACAUGUUCCUGAAGCCUGAGCCCUAACAGUUGAACCAAUGUGCUUUAGCCUUUCAUCAUACAUUAAAACCUAACCAAAUCAGCAUAGACUUGGUGUCAUUCAAAGAAUCUGCAUACACAGACACCGCACAGACAUCUUUGGACUACUGACAGAAUUAAAGGGUUCCAGGACCAAGUGAGACAUUUCACUUUCUUAACCAUCCUUGUUCUGUGUUUGGAGAGGCCAAAGGGUGGAAGUGGAAAUCCAGGGAGAAGAUGUAAUGGAAGAAAUUGCUCACCUGUUUCAUGCAGCAAUAGCUAGCCUUAACGGAGCUCUGACUACAGGCCAGGAAUUUCUCUUUGAUAGGAUUUCGUUGACUGCUCGUUAACAGUCCUAUCAGGUAAUGGUGAUUAUAAUAUCCAUUUUACAGUUGUGGCAAUUGAGGCACAGAGAAGUUAAGUGACUCUCCCAACAUCACACAACUAGUACAGGACCUAUACCUCUUGUGCAAGAUUAUAGACAUCCUCCCCCCCUUUCCCCCCAGCUUCGUGGCUCAGGGUGACCUAAGCAAACUGCUACAGCAGGAAGGGGAGAGGAGAUCAGGCUGUGGUAUACUGGAGGGGAAAAGCAAAGGGAGGCAUUUAAAGUCAAGGCAAGGACAAUGUCUCCAAGGACAGUGCAAUUUCUCAUUAGUGAAGUAUUGGUCAAGCUCCCCAGCCUCAGAGGCCCGUCCAGGGUUUCUUUGCUGCCAGGGUCACAUUGCUCAACUGCCUGUAGGGGUGCUGCAGCCCUGGAAGGAAGCCCAGGCUGUAGGGCUGCCAGGACCCGGCUGGUCUUCUACUCAAAGACAGAGGAGAACGUCAUUCCGGGAUUCCUUUAUAAUGGUGAAUUUGAUAACACACAAUACUAGAGUGAUGAUGGCUUCAGUCACUGGUCCACAGGAGGCAGGAGGGAGCAGUGAGAAGAACCGACUUUCCAGGGCUCACAUCACACCGACAUCCACACCAGGAAUGACUGCCAUGUACCUUCCUGAAGCUUCGCCCACCUACUGGUUCAGUCAAGAGCUAUGUUGCUUUUAAUUUGUCAUUUUUUAAGUUUAUUUAUUUUGAAAGAGCGGGGAGAGGCAGAGAGAUGGAGAGAGAGAGAGUCCCAAGCAGGCUCUGUACUGUCAGCGCAUAGUUGGAUGCAGGCCUCGAACUCAUGAACUGUGAGAUCAUGACCUGAGCCGAAAUCGAAAGCCAGAUGCUCAACUGGCUGAGCCACCCAGGUUCCCCUUAAUUCAUCAUUUUGCUCAUUGAAGAUAAAAUCCACCGUAGUGGCAAGAUUUCAGCACAACACUCUUUCCAGUCAUGAUAGAUAGGGACAUCCCAGCUCUUGAUGAGAAACAAAAUUUCAUUUGACUUCUCUUCAAAGGACUGGAGAGAGAAUUUUUUUCUUAAUGAUCUGUUUCAAUAUUUGUAUGUACUUAAAAAAAAAAAAAAAAGGCAACUCACAGUAUAUUUAUUCUGUGCUCUGUCUCCCUGGAAGAUUUCUCAUGAUCGGGGAGCCAAUUAAUACACUUCAAAAUAAGCAAUAAAAAUUCUAGUGCAAUUCUCA
ensembl:lncRNA